AAGAAGCCAAAAUAAAUAUUUUAAUAAAUAUGUAUAAAUUUUUAACAUUUCGUAAAAUGUUCUAAAAUGUUCUGCAAAUAUAACAACAUUUCCAUAUAAUUCUUAAGUCCUGUGCGACAAGAGUUAAUCGUCUCCGUUUUAUUUUUAUCGGUAUCACCAGUUUUUGGUAAUAGAUAAAAGUUAUUAUAAAUUCCUUUAUUGGUAAAGUGAUGAAGAUUUUGACACCCAGCACGAAUGUUUGCAUAGAACUAGUUAAUAAGAAGAGUAUUGCCAGGCUACACUUUGCUUUUAAAAUAAAUACCUAUAUAAAAAGGUGACAUUCGUUUAGGCAUGCGAUGUCCAUGGAAUUUUUGUAGUCGAAAAAAUUUAGUAUAAUUUCCAAUGUGAUAGAACCUUCCAUUCAACAACAUUCACCGACUCUUUAUUUUGAUACGUAAUAUAUUGUUAUUUGGUGCAACGCCGCACCAAACAGUCACUUUUUGGUCACCCAAAGGCGUUUCAUAGAUCGUGAAUGGAUGGCAAAAGCUUUUAACACAUGUCUUACCAAUUUAAUCACUUACUUAAUGCCAAAGCUAUUAAAAUCGCAAAUCGCUUACCAAUGCCUAUAUAUCGACAUGAAAGAUGACACGCCCUGUUGUUUGCAAAUACAAUAUUUACCGCUUUAUCACUUGCCUUAAAUUUAAACUACCUAUUACUAAUUAUACUUUAUAUUUACAACUCACAUAGGCUCGGCCGCUUGCACAAAUUUGUUUGCAUACUUGUGUACUAAAGUGCGAGUAAGCCUAAUUGUUUUUUAUUGCAUUUGUUUACGAUUAUUUGUUAAAAGAACAGCACUACCGCAUCCACUUAAGUUUUUUCGCGAUAAAAAUAAAUGUAAUUAAUCUGGUUAGGCAGCGAUUUAUAUUCAUCGGUCAUUCUCUUAUUAUAGAUCUUAGUAUGAAAGAAAGUUUCUGGAAGCAAUUUUAGGAUAUGUCCAAAGUAUUUUGUUGAUUACUCUAGAAUGUCAGCUUUCUUCAACAACUUUCUUGUAAUACUACCGGAGUUAUCAGCAUGACGACCUUUCUCCCCAAGAAGCUGCUAAUUUGUUGGAACUGCCGAUAUCGGAUCACUAUAAAAUAUAUCUAUCAUGCAAGCUGACCAAACGAAAUCACGUUCCCGUAUAGAAAACUAUUUUAUUUGAUAUUUCUUUGAUAAAUCUCCAAGGACUUAUGGUUAUCACCGCAAGGAUCUUUUUUUGAAACUGGGUCAACACAGACAGC